rnacentral:rRNA from 1 species
UACGUAGGGGGCAAGCGUUGUCCGGAUUUAUUGGGCGUAAAGAGCGUGUAGGCGGCCAGGUAGGUGGGUUGUGAAAAACUGGAGGCUCAACCUUCAGACGUCGACCCAAACCCCCUGGCUAGAGUCCGGAAGAGGAGAGUGGAAUUCCUGGUGUAGCGGUGAAAUGCGCAGAUAUCAGGAAGAACACCAAUUGCGAAGGCAGCUCGCUGGGACGUUACUGACGCUGAGACGCGAAAGCGUGGGAGCAAACAGG